rnacentral:rRNA from 1 species
UAGGGAAUAUUGGACAAUGGGCGCAAGCCUGAUCCAGCCAUGCCGCGUGAGUGAAGAAGGCCCUCGGGUUGUAAAGCUCUUUUGUCCGGAAAGAAAAGCAUCGGGUUAAUACCCCGGUGUUCUGACGGUACCGGAAGAAUAAGCACCGGCUAACUUCGUGCCAGCAGCCGCGGUAAUACGAAGGGUGCAAGCGUUACUCGGAAUUACUGGGCGUAAAGCGUGCGUAGGUGGUUCGUUAAGUCUGAUGUGAAAGCCCUGGGCUCAACCUGGGAAUGGCAUAGGAAACUGGCGGACUGGAGUGCGGUAGAGGGUAGCGGAAUUCCCGGUGUAGCAGUGAAAUGCGUAGAGAUCGGGAGGAACAUCCGUGGCGAAGGCGGCUACCUGGACCAGCACUGACACUGAGGCACGAAAGCGUGGGGAGCAAACA